rnacentral:rRNA from 1 species
UACGGAGGGGGCUAGCGUUGUUCGGAAUUACUGGGCGUAAAGCGCACGUAGGCGGCUUUGUAAGUUAGAGGUGAAAGCCCAGGGCUUAACUCUGGAAUUGCCUUUAAGACUGCAUCGCUAGAAUCGUGGAGAGGUGAGUGGAAUUCCGAGUGUAGAGGUGAAAUUCGUAGAUAUUCGGAAGAACACCAGUGGCGAAGGCGACUCACUGGACACGUAUUGACGCUGAGGUGCGAAAGCGUGGGGGGCAAACAGG